GCCGGAUUGGCGGAAUGGCAGACGCGACCGACUCAAAAUCGGUUGUCCGAGAGGACGUGAGGGUUCGAGUCCCUCAUCCGGCACC
rnacentral:tRNA from 1 species